AUCGCUUCUUGGCCUUUUGGCUAAGAUCAAAUGUAGUAUGAUUCCAAACUUCUAAAAUAUAUUGUCUGUUUAGUCUAUUAUUUUAGGGUUCUAGAGAACAGUGAAGCUAUAGUUCUCUAUUCAUUAAAGAAUUCUAGUUCACAAUAC
ensembl:snRNA U2 U2 spliceosomal RNA